GCAGGGAGGGAGCGGAGGUAGGAGAGGAGGGAGAGCGACUUGCGCCAGGACGGGUGGAGGUAGUUGAGGAGGAGGAGCGCGUCGGAGGAGGACGGCGGGCCGCCGUCGUCGGGGAAGAAGGCACGGAGGGUGGGGGCCACGUCGGCGUCCUCCGGGAGCGCCCGGAGGUCGCGGAUGAGCGGCUGGAGCGGGGCGGAGGAAGGGUGGGAGGAGGCCGGGCGGCGGCGGUGGCGGCUGAGGGACAGCACCGUGGGCCGCGGCUUGGAUGGGUUCACCCACGUGGGCUCCGGCGUGGGCCGGCCCUGCUGCUGGCCCGCCCCCGCCGGUGUGGGCUUGUCGGCGAGGAGCGUGCGGGAGAGCGGAUGGAGCUGGUCGGAGAGGGAGGGCGUCGAGGAGGAGGAGCAGAGGAUGGUGGUAGUGCGUCUGCUGCUCGGCAUGGGCUUCCGCGGCGGCGGGGCGUGGAAGAGGAAGGCGGCGGCGGUUGGCGCCAUGGCGGGCAGCCGAAGUGGAUGGAUAGAAUCCGUCCGAGGAGU
rnacentral:lncRNA from 1 species